ACGGCACUUCCCCAACAUCCCCUUCCAAAUUUAUAUGGAGCCUUCAAAAACACAUGGAGCAACUGCGAAAAGAAAUGGCUGAAGUUCAACAAAGCCAACAACUGCUUCAUGUGGGCCACUGAUAAAGAACCUGGAUGUGGCCCAAAGACUGACUGGAUUGAAUGUUUUGCCUGCCAACGGUGGUUCCAUGUGCUGUGCCUAGGAAUGAAGACAAAAGAGUUCAAAAGAGUAAACACAAACUAGAAGUGCAGUCUUUGUUGUUGAAAUUGUAUGCUAUACCCCAUCCACACUGAAGAGGAUCUGAAAUGUACAUCAACCAGGGAUAAAGAGAAAGUUAACACUGAAAUGUUUCAUUCUUAUUUGAAGUUAAGUGUCUGACAUGUUG
ensembl:lncRNA